AUGGGGACCAAAAGGCCCAGCUGCACCCUUUUUGACACUUUAUCUAACAUAAACACAUCUGACCGCAAACUUCAGCCAGGUGGAAAAAUCUCCCGGGAUCCAAGUCCCAGGCCAGCAAUGACUGCCCAGUCGGAGAAAGUGAGAGACAGCAACCGCGAGGAAGAGUGGAGGAGAGAAAGAGAAACAGAGAAAAUGAGGGACAAAGCAAGAUACAAAGAUGUGGACUCACGGGAGAGAUACAAGGAAAGAGACAGAGCUCCUGCACCCCGGCCAAGAGAGGGAGAAAGAGAGUGGAGGGAGAGAGAAAGGAGGCAAGAAGAUGACAGGAGCCGAAAUGGGAGGCCGCUGUCAAAUGUAGAGAAAGCUGCUGAGACAGAAGUGGAGAGGGGGAUGAAGAAAGGUGACACAUUUCCUAGAAUGAGAAAAAACAGUGCAGAUCAUGGCAGAAGAAUGACCGCCACCGCUGAGACAGAUGAAGAGAGAAGGGAAAGGAGACCAAGAGAUAGGCCGAAAAGAGUAGAGGCAGACGACUGGGAGAGAGAAAGAGAUCGAGUACGGCACAGAGAGAUUUACAGAGAGAGGGAAAGGGAUGAGAUCCGAAUCAGGGCAAAGGAAGAAGGGCAAAACACUGGACGAAGACCUGUUGAAGACGAGAAAUCGCGUCAGAGGGAAAGAUAUGAGUUUGAUGUUGAUUUUCAGGACAGGAGAAGGUGUGAUUCAUUGGACAGAAGAGAGAGAGAUAAUGCUAGAAGGAGAGAGAAGCCGAGGCCUAACAUGGGAAACAUUGAGGCCAGGGUGUCUUCUCCACACAGAAGAAGAGACAGAGAAAUCUACUUAGAUAGGAAGGACAGGGAAAAGGCACAAAGGAGAGAGGGAAGGAGGGACACCAGGAGUGAGGGAGACAGCGACGAGAGGGAGAUCAGGAGGGAGAGAGUGAGGGACAGAGAGAGGGAGGAGUUGACAUAUCAACACAGCAGAAGUGAAGGGGACACCACAGGCAAAACAGAGAGGGAGAGACAUCGAGAUAGGCAAGGAUACCGGGAAGAGGAAAGGGAGAGAUACAGAGACAGGGACAGAGAGAGAGAAGUGGAUCGAUCCAGGAGGAGGGGAGUAGAGAAGGAUAGGGAGAGGUACAGAGAGGCUGACAGGAGGGGAGCAAGGGAGCCAGACAGGGAGGGAGCAAGAUGGAAGGACCGUGUGAGAGACGUGAAGGAUGAUAGGAGAGAGGGUGACAGAUACAGAGAGUAUGAGCAGAGGAGAGGCAGAGAAACAAAGGAAAGACAGGAAGAUCCAAGGUGGGAUGAUACCACAGCCAGAGGCAGCAGAUCCCAGAGCGACACAGCUCCCAGGGUGCCGCCACGAGCCCAGAGCAGUGGAGAGUGGAGCACCACUGAAAGUGACAGAGAUGUAGAUGAACAGACAGAUCCAGAAAGAGCUGCUGAAAGAAGUCAAAGGGAGCAAAAAAGAAGUGAGAGACAGGAGAGAAGAAAAGGAGAGACAGCAGGCAGAGUGCCAGAGCAGAAAAGGAUGUGGUUAGAGCCACAGAGGGGCAAGAAUAGUAAAGAAGAAUUUGUAGACAGAGACAGACACACAAGGGAGAAAGAGCGGAGGAGAGAACAAGAGAGGAGUAUGGAGUCACAGGCUGAGUGGGUAAGAGGGGGGCGGAGAAUAAAAGAGGAACCAGAUGAGAGGUAUUUGGACCAUAGCAGUUACAGAGGAAGGCAUGGAGGGAGAAAUGAGAACAAGGGGGCUCUAGAGAGGGAAUCGGAGGGUGUAAGUGUAGAUGGAGAGGAGGUGGGUGAAGUCUGGAGAGAAAUAGAUAAGGGAGGGAAGGAACAUCUGUCUGACACAGAUGGAGGGAUAGAGGGAAGCUGGCGGAGGGAUGCAGAGGGGGAGAACGUGACAGAUAACACAGAAGAGAGUGACAGAGAGGAACAGGGUGGGAGCGAUUAUUGGGCCCGCUCAGAGAGCGAAGGAGGAAGUGACUCAGGGUGGAAGCAAGAGAGAGACAGAAUGCUGUCAGGAGAGGACGGCUUUGUGACUCUGUCCAGCGGCGGAGACGAGGAGGACGAAAGAGAGGAAGAUGAAAAGUUUGAGGACUGUCAGGAGUUCUGGGAAGGUGAAGUUUCAUGUGAUGGCCCCUCACCUGUUGCCAUCAAGGAGCAUGAGGGAGACGAGCAGAGGGAAGAGGAAUGGAUAAUGGGAAAGGAAGAGACGGUUGAUGAAGACGAACAGGGGAGGGAAAAGCAACCAAAGUACGUCUUCUGUGUGAUUGGGCAAACUUUGCCUCGGUCAAAACCCGGACAGAUGUCACCGUCACAAGUUGAUCAGGCAAAGGGUGUGGAAAGUGAGAACCCAAAUUUAGAAAGUUGUCAUCAUUGUAGUGAUGACGGCACACAGCAACCUCAGCAUGACCUGCAUCUGACAUCAAGUAGAGAGGAUGAAUACCCGACCAUCAACCACCAGGACACAGAGGGCAGGAGUGGGUGUAACAUGCCAAGAGAGGAAAGGGCAGCCACGGGAGAAACAACUGAGGUGGAUAUGAGAUACAGAGUGUCACCAGAGCUUCAAAACACACAGACUGGAGAGAGAAUAAGGCGCAAGAAGGAGCACCCGUAUGCUGAAAUAGGACCAGUAAAAAGAGACUCACAGACUGAAAAACUCCUGAUAGAGUGGAGAGAGAAAAAUAAAGAAGGGGUGGAAAGAGAGAGUGAGCGACCUUUGUCAGUCCCCGUUAAUCCCUAUGGUGAUGUUUGUUCUCAAGUACAUUUUGAACAAAUUCAACCCAUCUUGGAAGGGAUUAACACCGGAGCAAUGAGCCCAGAAGAGGUGGAGGCCAUCCGGAUCCGAAUGAGCGGGGCAUGGAGCAUGUCUGACGAGCCCAAGCGUCAUUCCCAAGCCCCACACCUUAAAUGGGCCAAAAAUGUGGUGCGGGAGAUUCUGGGACGCUCAGAAGAACAGUUUUCAGAUGAACCUAACGCAGAGAUACCAGGAGACCAAGGGGUCAACCAGUCCGAGACAACGAUCGAGAACGACAAACAACAGGAAGUGGCUGCACAAGAGACCGCAGAGAUGCCAGUUGUUACACUGACAAUGGACGAACGGCACUCAGAGCCAGAGCUGGAGGAAGAAGAGCCGUUGGAGGUGGAGGGAUUGAGAGGUAUGGGGCUGAGCCAAGCCGACAUGCAUGCUGACCAGUGCGCAGCUAUGCAUGGUGACACACAGACAUACACUCAUGCUGACACACUGCUAGACACAGAAGGGAAGGAGGAUCAGAGUAUGGACAAAGAGACAGAGCCUUCGUAUCGCGUUUUAGAAAAGGCAGAUAGAGAGGUGAAAAUUAGCGAAGAGGCCGGUGAUGAGGUUAAUUUAUUAGAAAAGGAAAAAGAAGCAAGUAGAGUGAAGGAAGUUGAGAUGUAUUUAUCUGUGAGCAACACGCUGUACAAGCCUAACAGCUGCCCCAUUCUGAAUUAUGAAACUGAGCCUGAGCUCCUCAUUCCCUCUAGAGAGGCUGAGGGCCAGGAGGUGGAAGACAGAAUGGGUGAAAGCGAAGAAGAAAGGCAGGAAGAGGACCCUGAAGAGAGGGGUACUGGAGAGGAGGUGGGAAAGGUGAGGGAGGGAGAGGGGAGUACUGAGGUGGAUAGCAGAGAGGGAGAAAGGAAAAUAGAAGAGAGGACACUGACGAGCAGCUGCAGUUUCCGAAAUUUGGGCCCCGAGGCUCGAUUGCGGAGAAGGGGAAUCCGUAAAACUACUGAAAGAAGAAAAGGAGAGCUUGUAGAAGCAGAAGAAGCGGAAGGUGUUGGAAGGGACCGCAGAACCAGAAUAUUCUCUACAACAGGUAACGAGAGAAGAUGGAGGAUGGAGACGCUGAUUAUCUGCUCAGAAAGCCACAUAAAUAGCCCUUCUUCUACGUUUAACUUCUUUCUAGUUUAUUAUCAAUCAUCAUCAGCAUUGCCAAUUUAA
ensembl:lncRNA